rnacentral:rRNA from 1 species
GGAUGCGAUCAUACCAGCACUAAAGCACCGGAUCCCAUCAGAACUCCGAAGUUAAGCGUGCUUGGGCGAGAGUAGUACUAGGGUAGGUGACCUCCUGGGAAGUCCUCGUGUUGCAUUCC